rnacentral:rRNA from 1 species
GGGCCCACGAUCGGAUAAUUGGGCGUAAAGGGCACGCAGGCGGUCCUGCAUGUGGUGGGUGACAGCUCCUAGCUUAACUAGGAGAGUGCCUUCCAAACGACAGGACUUGAGAGCGAGAGAGGGAUACGGAACUCCAGGUGAAGCAGUGAAAUGCGUAGAGAUCUGGAAGAACACCAAAGGCGAAGGCAGUAUCCUGGCUCGUCUCUGACGCUCAGGUGCGAAAGCUAGGGGAGCAAACAGGAUUAGAUACCCUGGUAGUCCUAGCUGUAAACCAUGACCACUAGGCGUGGGAGGUAUCGACCCCUUCCGUGCCGUAGGUAACCUGUUAAGUGGUCCGCCUGGGGAGUACGGUCGCAAGACUAAAACUCAAAGGAAUUGACGGGGACCCGCACAAGCAGCGGAGCGUGUGGUUUAAUUCGAUGCAACGCGAAGAACCUUACCAGGGUUUGACAUGCGUGCGACAUCCCUUGAAAGAGGGUUCCCUUCGGGGCGCAUGCACAGGUGCUGCAUGGCUGUCGUCAGCUCGUGCCGUGAGGUGUCUGGUUAAGUCCUCUAACGAGCGCAACCCCUAUGGCUAGUUGAAUCUUUCUAGUCAGACUGCCACCACAAAGUGGAGAAAGGUGGGGAUGACGUCAAGUCAGCACGGCCCUUACAUCCUGGGCGACACACACGCUACAAUGGCCGAGACAAUGGGGAGCCAACCCGCGAGGGGGAGCCAAUCCCAGCAAACUCGGUCUCAGUUCGGAUUGCAGGCUGCAACCCGCCUGCAUGAAGUCGGAAUCGCUAGUAAUCGCGGAUCAGCAUGCCGCGGUGAAUACGUUCCCGGGUCUUGUACACACCGCCCGUCACACCAUGGGAGUGGGGUGCACCAGAAGUAGGUAGGCUAACCGCAAGGAGGCCGCUUACCACGGUACGCUUCAUGACUGGGGUGAAGUCGUAACAAGGUAAC